rnacentral:rRNA from 1 species
UAAUACGAGGGGUGCUAGCGUUGUCCGGAAUUACUGGGCGUAAAGGGUCCGUAGGCGUCUUGUCAAGUUGAUCGUUAAAUCCACCGGCUUAACCGGUGAUCUGCGAUCAAAACUGGCAGGAUAGAAUAUGUGAGGGGAAUGUGGAAUUCCUGGUGUAGCGGUGACAUGCGUAGAUAUCAGGAGGAACACCAAUGGCGAAGGCAGCAUUCUGGCACAAUAUUGACGCUGAGGGACGAAAGCGUGGGGAGCAAACAGGAUUAGAUACCCUGGUAGUCCACGCCGUAAACGAUGAGUACUUGGUGGUGGGGGAUUCGACCCCUUCACUAUCGGAGCUAACGCGUUAAGUACUCCGCCUGGGGACUACGGCCGCAAGGCUG